rnacentral:rRNA from 1 species
GAUGAACGCUGACAGAAUGCUUAACACAUGCAAGUCUACUUGAAACUAACUUCGGUUAGUGGAUGGUGGCGGACGGGUGAGUAACGCGUAAAGAACUUGCCUCACAGUUUGGGACAACAUUUGGAAACGAAUGCUAAUACCGGAUAUUAUGAUACUUCCGCAUGGAAGAAUCAUGAAAGCUAUAUGCGCUGUGAGAGAGCUUUGCGUCCCAUUAGCUAGUUGGAGAGGUAACGGCUCACCAAGGCGAUGAUGGGUAGCCGGCCUGAGAGGGUGAACGGCCACAAGGGGACUGAGACACGGCCCUUACUCCUACGGGAGGCAGCAGUGGGGAAUAUUGGACAAUGGACCAAAAGUCUGAUCCAGCAAUUCUGUGUGCACGAUGAAGUUUUUCGGAAUGUAAAGUGCUUUCAGUUGGGAAGAAGCAAGUGACGGUACCAACAGAAGAAGCGACGGCUAAAUACGUGCCAGCAGCCGCGGUAAUACGUAUGUCGCAAGCGUUAUCCGGAUUUAUUGGGCGUAAAGCGCGUCUAGGUGGUUAUAUAAGUCUGAUGUGAAAAUGCGGGGCUCAACUCCGUAUUGCGUUGGAAACUGUAUGACUAGAGUACUGGAGAGGUAAGCGGAACUACAAGUGUAGAGGUGAAAUUCGUAGAUAUUUGUAGGAAUGCCGAUGGGGAAGCCAGCUUACUGGACAGAUACUGACGCUAAAGCGCGAAAGCGUGGGUAGCAAACAGG